rnacentral:ncRNA from 1 species
ACAAAGUUUUAUUCUUGCUUUUGUUUUUACAAUAAGGAUAAUUUUCAUAUAUUGAUUUCUUAAUGAUUAUUGGUAGUAAUUAAUAUUAUACAAUUAAGUUAUUUUGGAUAUAGUAUUCCUUUUAGUAUUGGUAAAAGGCGUGCCAGCUGCCGCGGUUAGACGUGAAAUGCAAGUAAAAAUUUUUGAUUAGGAGUUAAUUUUUUUUUGAAGAUCAAUGGUAUUUGAAUUAAUUAUUGGUGAAAUUAUUAAAUUUUAUUAUAUUGUAAAUGAUUAUAAUGAGGCUUUGAAGUGUAAAUAUAAACUAGGAUUAGAUACCCUAUUAUUAUAUAUUUAAAUUUUAUUGUCGGAGUAGUAGUAGUAGGGCUUGAAACUCAAAGAAUUUGGCGGUGUUUUAGUCUUUUCAGAGGAAUCUGUCUUGUAAUUGAUAAUACACGAUUUUCGUUACUUAGUUUUGUUAUCAGCUUAUAUACCGCCGUCAGUAAGAUUAUCUUUAGAGGGGAGAAAAUUUCAUUAUAUAUAAUUUUAUUUUAUGUCAGGUCAAGGUGUAGUUAAUGAUUAAGUGUUGAUGGAUUACAAUAAAGUUAUUUAUAUGAAUGGUAUCUUUAUACAGUUACUUGAAGGUGGAUUUGAUUGUAAAUUAAUUAAAAUUGAUUAUUUGAUUAUAGCUCUAGAAUGUGUACAUAUCGCCCGUCGCUCUCAUUUUAAGGUGAGAUAAGUCGUAACAUAGUAGAUGUACCGGAAGGUGUAUCUGGAAUGGA